GACGAACGCUGGCGGCGUGCCUAAUACAUGCAAGUAGAACGCUGAAGGAGGAGCUUGCUUCUCUGGAUGAGUUGCGAACGGGUGAGUAACGCGUAGGUAACCUGCCUGGUAGCGGGGGAUAACUAUUGGAAACGAUAGCUAAUACCGCAUAAGAGUAGAUGUUGCAUGACAUUUGCUUAAAAGGUGCAAUUGCAUCACUACCAGAUGGACCUGCGUUGUAUUAGCUAGUUGGUGGGGUAACGGCUCACCAAGGCGACGAUACAUAGCCGACCUGAGAGGGUGGUCGGCCACACUGGGACUGAGACACGGCCCAGACUCCUACGGGAGGCAGCAGUAGGGAAUCUUCGGCAAUGGACGGAAGUCUGACCGAGCAACGCCGCGUGAGUGAAGAAGGGUGUCGGAUCGUAAAGCUCUGUUGUAAGAGAAGAACGAGUGUGAGAGUGGAAAGUUCACACUGUGACGGUAUCUUACCAGAAAGGGACGGCUAACUACGUG
rnacentral:rRNA from 1 species